CCUACGGGGGGCUGCAGUGGGGAAUAUUGGACAAUGGGGGGAACCCUGAUCCAGCCAUGCCGCGUGUGUGAAGAAGGCCCUCGGGUUGUAAAGCACUUUCAGUGAGGAAGAACGCCUGGUGGUUAAUACCCAUCAGGAAAGACAUCACUCACAGAAGAAGCACCGGCUAACUCCGUGCCAGCAGCCGCGGUAAUACGGAGGGUGCGAGCGUUAAUCGGAAUUACUGGGCGUAAAGCGCGCGUAGGUGGCUUGAUAAGCCGGUUGUGAAAGCCCCGGGCUCAACCUGGGAACGGCAUCCGGAACUGUCAAGCUAGAGUGCAGGAGAGGAAGGUAGAAUUCCCGGUGUAGCGGUGAAAUGCGUAGAGAUCGGGAGGAAUACCAGUGGCGAAGGCGGCAUUCUGGACUGACACUGCCACUGAGGUGCGAAAGCGUGGGUAGCAAACAGGAUUAGCUACCCUUGUAGUA
rnacentral:rRNA from 1 species